GGGUUAUGUAUUUCGACGGUUGGGAAGACGACCAAGACUAUUACCAUCCAAUGCGACGAUUACCGUCGGUUUGGAAUUGUGGUGUAGUAGUUGCUAAAGAUUUAAAUGUGAUAUCAUUAGAUUUAAGACAUUUACAAGGUCUAUGUAGAUCAUUAGAAAUAUUAACAAGGAUAAGACAAGCGAGAAAUGAGUUUAAUUAUCGUUGCGGUAAGUAAU